ACAGAUUUUAAACUUUAUUUGACGUUCUAUAUAUGAUUUAUUUGAGUCUAACGACUUUUAAGUGUUUAAUGAUUUUUUUUUUAAUGCACUAGUUGGCUAUGAUUCUGCUUCACGUACCAUGACAGAAACGUGUGUGAUUAAGCUAACAAAUUUAUAUGACAUUAAAACUUAAAUAUUUUUAAAUUUUCAAUUUUUGGUGAUGCUUUACAACACAAGUACGUAAUCAUGUCGCUGGAAAUUCGUUAAUCAGUGUCCCAAUGCGUAAUGAGUCAGUGCCUGAACUGAUGUACACAAUAUUCUGAUUCACAACCUAGGGAGCUAGGGAGCUGAUCGAGACACCCUAGGUUGGAGCCAGCUAGCCAACUUUCUCAAUGGCGCUGGUUGGAGCUUCAAGCCACUUUUUUGGGCCACUUUCUUGUUGUUGUUUUUUUGUUUGUUUUUUUAAAUAAAAGUACAACUACAUUUACAAUAAUUUGCGUUACAAUUAUUAAUAAUAAUAAUAAUAAUGUUCCACCAAAUAGGGAUGAAAGGUACAAGAAGGAAUAGGUGUUUCCAAUUAUUUACUUCAAACUUAUAUUCCAAGUAAAUUGUUAGGGAUUUAGGUACUUUUUUAUUUAGUAAAAUCUCACUACAUUUUGCAUGUCUUUCAUAAAGACUGCAAAAACCUAUGACGCAACUAAUCCACCAUAAACCUUAUCUCAUCUCUAUUACCUUCUUCAUAUGAAGUUGGCAUGUUUGUUAUGUUUCAUUGCUGCUUUUGACAUGGAGCAAAAACUAAAGCAUAAAGUAUGUAUUCACUGACAUUAGUCACAAAACAGUCAGGACUGUCAUAGAGAAAUAUCGGUUUGCUAUAUCUGUGCACAGGUUAAUGUAUAAAUCUGAUAGACUUGUAUUUUUCCCCACACAUUGCCCCCUUCCAACAAGCCCACUGGCACUUUUGGGUUUUUUGUUUUUGUUUUUUUAAUUAAAAAUGGUCUAUGGGGGCAGCUGUGGCUCAGGUGGUAGAGCAGGUUGUCCACUAAUAGUAGGGUUGGUGGUUCGAUUCCCGUCCCACAUGACUCCACAUGCCAAAGUGUCUACGCUUACAGCAAGACACUGAACCCCAAGUUGCUCCCAAUGGCAAGUUAGCGCCAUGCAUGGCAGCUCUGCUACCAAUGGUGUAUGAGUGUGUGUGUUAAUGGUUGAAUGAGACAGUGUAAAGCGCUUUGGAUAAAAGCGCUAUAUAAGUGCACCAUUCACCAUUUACCAGCUUGAGCAGCCUGGCUUAUGUUUUGGCAGCUGGUAGCUGAUUAGACCAAGCUGGAAUUUUCAGCAAGGAAAUUAUGUUUGCUGUGUGAUUCAUACACUGAUAUGUCCACAGAUAAAGCAAACCGGCCCCUCUGCAACAGUCCUAUCUGGUUUUUGAGUAAUGUCACAAAGGGUCUCCAAAUAGACAUAUGCUGCAGUUUUCGCACCAUGUGAAAUCAUACUUCAUAAUUAAUGUCAAUUUGAUAUGAUUUACUGUCGAUUAUAUACAGGGACAUAUUUAAAAACAGCUAAAAGAGCAGCUAUACAAUAUAACAUUGUCUAUUUAAAGGCACCAUUUUGGCUAAUAUCUUACUAAUACAACAUUCACUUCAGUUUAGACUCUGAUUAAGGUUUAGGUUUGUGGUCUGGAAUGGAAAUAAACCAUAUAAUCCAGAUUAGCUAAACUUCAGGUGAGUUAGCUAACAAGCCGAGCCUCAAAGUGAAUCCUAAAUGGUUUUCUAUUGGCUUUAUAGUACACUGCACCAGAUGAUGAUCACAGUGAUUACCAUUUGCAGUGCCCUAAACUAAUAUUGGCACCCUUGGUAAAUAUGAGCAAAGAAGGCUGUAAAAAAUUGUCUUGAUUAUUUAAACUUUUAAUUUUUUGUUAAAAAAAUUCACAGGAAUAUUCUCUUCUCAUGGUUAUCAAAUAAUUGCAAACAAAACACAGGUUUAUCCGGAAAAAAAACUUUGUGCUACCUCCCUUUGCCAAGAUAACAGCUCUGAGUCUUCUCCUAUAAUGCCUGAUGAGUUUGGAGAAUACAUGGCAAGGGAUCUGAGACCAUUCCUCCAUACAGAAUCUCUCCAGAGCCUUCAAAUUUCAAGGUCCACACUGCUGGUUUCUCCUCUUCAGUUCACCACACAGGUUUUCUGUGGGUUUCAAGUCAGGGGACUGGGAUGGCCAUGGCAGGACCUUGAUGUUGUGAUUGAUGUCUCCAGCAAAGAUGGUGAUGAGGAGGAUAAUGGAAAAGCCGGUUAGCAGGCCACCAUUUUGGAACAGAAAGAAUAACAUCUUUCCUUUGCGGCCUCUGGCGUGUGUGUUCAUUAUUUCAUUCAUCUCUGGGAACUAAAAUCAGCCACAAAAUGAAGGUUAAAGUACAAAAUAAUACUGCAUUAUAGAAACUCUAUGACAGUUAUAUAGUUUAUUUUAAGAUGUGAUAUUGUAUAUGCUUUACCAUGUCUGCCAGAGCGAUGUAAAGAAACAUUCCACCAGCAAUGGCAAAGAUGGCAUUUGGAGCAAAGCUGCUGCCCAGCAAGAUGCCCAGCACCAAGCCGAGAUAACAGCACAUAGCAGAGAGCAGCAAAGCACUAUGGAUAAUAUACAAACGGUUUGUGGAACACAACCUGUCAUGCUUGUCAGAAGUGUCAUGCUGCUGAUUUACUCCACCUGUAAUUCAGUGCUACCACAGGGGCAGUGGUAGCUCAGUGGUUAAGACAUUGGACAAGGUUGUAAGUUUAAAUCACAACACCACCAGGCUGACACUUAACCCGCAACUGCCCGGUUGUAUAAAUGAGAUAAAUGUAAUGAGGUCAAUGUAAGCCACUCUGGAUAAGGGCUUCUGCCUUAUGCUGGAAAUGUAAUGUAAUGCAUUUUAAAUCCUAUUCCAGGCAAUGUGUUCAACACUUUGUAGAUUCUCAAAUCAAUGAUAAGUUUUAUUAAUGUGCAAAUUCUAAUACAUUAUUAUUUCUAUAGUAGCAAGUCAUUCACAGGGACCUGUAUGGUAGACACUCCACAUCAUCUAAGCCUAAUAAUAAAUGGAUUAAGACAUGUUAUUUAAUAAAGAAAAAUGUAUACUUGUUGAUAUGGUGAAGCUUUCUGUUAGGAAACAUUUAUUAAAAAUUUAUGAUAGGGGUCUCGGGAUGUUACUGCUUUGAAACAGUACAUUUUCCACCAUGGAAGAUUCUACAGGACAGACGAUUUUGCACUUUCCAGUUUCUUGGUAACAUGACGGGCUGCAUUUUUCUUUUUCUUAUUAAGAGGAAAAAAAAGUAAAGCAGGUAAAGAAAUGUUUAUAGCUACUAUAACAUAACAUAAGUGAUAACAGCAAUUUUUUUCUUGUGGAUAUUCCAUAACAUUAAAUGUACCUAUAAAUUGUUAACAUAUGUGGUGCUGUUCAUGAAUAAAUUAAAAGUAUGGCAAA